UACGUAGGGUGCGAGCGUUGUCCGGAAUUACUGGGCGUAAAGAGCUCGUAGGUGGUUUGUCGCGUCGUCUGUGAAAUUCCGGGGCUUAACCUCGGGCGUGCAGGCGAUACGGGCAAUACUUGAGUGCUGUAGGGGAGACUGGAAUUCCUGGUGUAGCGGUGGAAUGCGCAGAUAUCAGGAGGAACACCGAUGGCGAAGGCAGGUCUCUGGGCAGUAACUGACGCUGAGGAGCGAAAGCCAGGGGAGCAAACGGGAUUAGAUACCCCCGUA
rnacentral:rRNA from 1 species